rnacentral:rRNA from 1 species
UACAGAGGGGGCAAGCGUUGUUCGGAAUUACUGGGCGUAAAGGGCGCGUAGGCGGCCUGCUAAGUCGAACGUGAAAUCCCUGGGCUCAACCCAGGAACUGCGUCCGAUACUGGUUGGCUUGAAUUCGGGAGAGGGAUGUGGAAUUCCAGGUGUAGCGGUGAAAUGCGUAGAUAUCGGGCGGAACACCAGCGGCGAAGGCGGCAUCCUGGCCCUGACCUGACGCUGAGGCGCGAGAGCGUGGGGAGCAAACUGG